CUGAGAGUACAUGUAUCACAAAGGGGAAGAGAGACCACGGACACGGACAACUAUAAUUAAGGCAGGGCAGGCCUCUUCACACACCUAUAGGAUCCCACCUCUGCCUACAAUAUGAUAGCAGGAUGAUGAUAGAUAUUGGUUAGGGUAAAGUGAAUCCUGCUUGUCUUUUAAACUUUAAACUUAAGCUGCCACCAACCUAAUAGGUUUUAGGAAUUUUCCAAGGUAUUUGAGGUAAACUGCUCCCACUCCUGCCAACACUGGCUGGCUCCCAAACAAUUGUUUAUUAAGAGUUUUUUUUUGUAGUAACUGGAUGUUACUAAUGUUGGAACUACAGUAGAGUCUCACUUAUCCAACACUCGCUCAUCCAACAUUCUGGAUUAUCCAACGCAGUUUUGUAGUCAAUGUGUUCAAUAUAUCGUGAGAUUUUGGUGCUAAAUUCAUAAAUACAGUAAUUACUACAUAGCAUUACUGCGUAUUGAACUACUUUUUCUGCCAAAUUUGUUGUCUAACAUGAUGUUUUGGUGUUUCAUUUGUAAAAUCAUAACCUAAUUUGAUGUUUAAUAGGCUUUUCCUUAAUGCCUCCUUAUUAUCCAACAUAUUUGCUUAUCCAACAUUCUGUCAGCCCGUUUAUGUUGGAUAAGUGAGACUCGACUGUAUCACAAAGGCUUGACGAUGGAAUGAGGCGCUGUAGAGACCUUUUGAUAGUUAAAUAGAAUAAGAUUUGUUUAUUUUAAAACAGACAACUAACUACUCCUGAGAAGUACAAAAAAGCGUGAUUUGUUACAAAAGCACUUCAAGCUUGAAUUGGUUGCUUGUUCAGGUCUCUUCACAUUGUUAUAGACAGAUCUAAACAAACCGUUCUAACUGUUAUUAACAAAACCCUCGCUCUGCUUCAGAGAAUAAUGACGAAUUUGACUAAUCUAUCUAGUUAGCCCCUGGGUUCUUAACUAACUCUACCUUAGAGUUCUUCCUGUUAACGUACCCGGCCUGGAAAGUCAACCUCUUGUAUUAACUCUCACAAGAAAUCAAACUGCUGUCUGACCUUUUCAUGUCAAUGCACAGCACUCCACUCUCUCCCUGUGAACCCAGUUUUUUAAACCCUACAUCUUUACAUACCAGUUCUCUCAGACCUCUCCACUUCCCACCUUCUCCUCUUCUUUUCCUCUGGGCCCCUCCCCACUCCUCUGGCCAAUCCUAGGAGUCUCCUCACUCCUCCCCUUUUCCAACCUUCCUCACUCAAGAUGGCUGCCUUGCUGGCAUUCUCUCCCAACAUGGAAGCCUUCCAUACUGUUAUCCAGGCUCCCUUUCCGGCCUACCAGUGAACCAUCCCAAAAGUCAUCCAUGUGGACCAUUUCAGAUUUUGGUGUAUUUUGCAUCUUGGAAUUUUGGAUAAAGGGUUGCUGUAGGUUGGAA